rnacentral:rRNA from 1 species
UACGAAGGGGGCUAGCGUUGUUCGGAUUUACUGGGCGUAAAGCGCACGUAGGCGGAUCUUUAAGUCAGAGGUGAAAUCCCAAGGCUCAACCUUGGAACUGCCUUUGAUACUGGGGAUCUUGAGUCCGGGAGAGGUGAGUGGAACUGCGAGUGUAGAGGUGAAAUUCGUAGAUAUUCGCAAGAACACCAGUGGCGAAGGCGACUCACUGGCCCGGUACUGACGCUGAGGUGCGAAAGCGUGGGGAGCAAACGGG